UACGUAGGGUGCGAGCGUUAAUCGGAAUAACUGGGCGUAAAGGGUGCGCAGGCGGAUAGAUAAGUUAGAAGUGAAAUACCUGAGCUCAACUUGGGAAUAGCUUUUAAAACUGUAGAUCUAGAGUUAGUCAGAGGGGGGUGGAAUUCCAAGUGUAGCAGUGAAAUGCGUAGAGAUUUGGAGGAACACCGAUGGCGAAGGCAGCCCCCUGGGAUUAAACUGACGCUGAGGCACGAAAGCGUGGGUAGCAAACAGG
rnacentral:rRNA from 1 species